AUAAAAAAUUAAAAUUUGCAAUUCAUCAACUUACUUAUCAAGUUUUUUCAAUCUCAAAAGUCUCGAAUUGCAAUGUUUUAUUCCUCAAGAAUGCUCUCUGCAGACUGCUUUCCAUCGGCAGAUCAGCUCAGAUAAUUUCGUUGCUUCCACAUUUUCAUUAAAGCAAAGGUAAAAAAAAUUUUACGUUGGCAAUUAAUUGGAGAGAGCAAUAAUGAAAAAAUCAUUAUCAAGUUGAUUUUCGCCGAUAUUGGUGCAAACAUUAGUUAGUACGAGGACAAAUAUUGAAGCAAGAGGUGGAGCCAAUUGAGGGCAGAAAGUAAGGAAGGAAAGGAGUGACAUGUUCUUGUCUCCAUUAAUAUCUGUAUGCUUAUAUAUGCCCAAUCAGUAACGGAAGAUCCGGCCCACAAGCAUGUGCGAGGAGCCAGGGACAGCUUCUGGGAAGUUUCCUCUAUCAAAUUCAAAAUGGAGUUUGUUUCAUGCGAAUUAUGGGGGCAACAGCUAGUCUUUAAUAGUGUUGCUAAAAAACAAGUGACAUCAAUGAUAGGGAAGGGUGAUGCCAAGGGCAGUUUCCGGGAAGUUUCCUCUGCAUCUUUUGAGAAGGGCAAAUCGAAAAUUUUAGCAGAUAUCUCAUUCAUAAAUAGCUUGAAGAUUUAUUUCAUCUAUACAUUUCAUCCAACCUUAAAUGGUGUAGUUGAUGCUCAAGUUAGUUUAGAUUUAGAUAUGAAUGUGGAAUCAAUUAGUCUUGUUAAUUCUACUUAUUAUUAAUUGGCCACAUUAGGUUGGUUUCAGACUUACCUCAAUUCAUUUUUAUAACUUUUUAGACUUUUGUUACUUUUGAUUUAAUGUUGUUUUUUCUUUCAAUUUUUUCUAUUUAUUCGAGUUUAACACUCAUAUACAA